AGCUCCAUUAGCGUAUAUUAAAGUUGUUGCAGUUAAAAAGCUCGUAGUUGGAUUUCGGUGUGGGCCAGUCGGUCGGCCGCAAGGCUUGUUCACUGGCUGGUCUGCUCUCUCAAUCUCAAAGACUGCACGUGCUCUUCACUGCAGUGUGUGUCAGGAUUUGGGACGUUUACUUUGAAAAAAUUAGAGUGUUCAAAGCAGGCUUUUCAAGCCCGGAUACAUGAGCAUGGAAUAAUGGAAUAGGACCGCGGUUCUAUUUUGUUGGUUUCUACGACCGCAGUAAUGAUUAAGAGGGACAAUUGGGGGCGUCCGUAUUUCGUUGUCAGAGGUGAAAUUCUUGGAUUUACGAAAGACGAACAACUGCGAAAGCAUUCGCCAAGAGUGUUUUCAUUAAUCAAGAACG
rnacentral:rRNA from 1 species